rnacentral:rRNA from 1 species
UUCCGGUUGAUCUGCCGGAAGUCACUGCUAUCCGGAUCCGACUAAGCCAUGCAAGUUUUGGUGUCAUCUUGGACAUCAGGGCGAAAAGCUCAGUAACACGUAGUUAACAUGGCCCCGAGUCUGGGAUAAUCUUGGGAAACUGAGGCUAAUACCAGAUAGGAAAGAGACACUGGAAUGUGCUCUUAUCCAAAGCUAUAUGCGCUCGGGGAUUGGACUGCGCCGGAUUAGGUUGUUGCUGGGAUAAAACCCCGGCAAGCCGAUAAUCCGUACGGGCCUUGAGAGAGGGAGCCCGGAGAUGGAUUCUGAGACAAGAAUCCAGGUCCUACGGGACGCAGCAGGCGCGAAAAUUUCCCAAUGCACGCAAGUGUGAGGAAGGGAUCUGGAGUGUCUCCCUAUUAUUGGGAGACUUUUGUGGAGUGUAAAUAGCUUCACGAAUAAGUGGUGGGUAAGACGGGUGCCAGCCGCCGCGGUAAUACCCGCGCCACGAGUGGUGACCACGAUUAUUGGGCUUAAAGCAUUCGUAGCCGGUUCAGAAAGUCCUUAGUGAAAUCCCGCAGCCAACUGUGGGGCUUGCUAGGGAAACUGCUGGACUUGGGACCGGGAGAGGUCAAGGGUAUUCCAGGGGUAGGGGUAAAAUCCUGUAAUCCUUGGGAGACCAUCUGUGGCGAAGGCGCUUGACCAGAACGGAUCCGACGGUGAGGGAUGAAAGCCAGGGGAGCAAAGGGGAUUAGAUACCCCCGUAGUCCUGGCUGUAAACGAUGCCCACUAGACAUUGGCAAUCUUAUGGGGGUUGCCAGUGCCGUAGCGAAAGCGUUAAGUGGGCCGCCUGGGGAGUACGGUCGCAAGGCUGAAACUUAAGGGAAUUGGCGGGGGAGCACACAAGGGGUGGAGGCUGCGGUUUAAUUGGAUUCAACGCCGGAA